CUUGCAUGAAGAAGCAACAGAGGGAAACAUGUUGAUAUGGUGUCCCUUCACCUUCCGGAGGAGCUGGACCCAGGCCGUCCUGAUGGCCACAUUUGGAUUAUUCUAACUACUGGAGCACGUUGUCUGCAGCUCAGGGAGUGGUGAGGCGGACAGCAGGCCUGUGCCACGGAGAGGGAUUAAACACUGUCAUCACCAUCUCCUCCCCCAGAGCUGAACAUACUCCAUCACCCCGACAGCAGGUCCCAGUCUUCCCAAACUAAAGCCAAACACAUUCCAGACUGCAGAGAGACAGACAGCUUCUGCAGUGUCAUGUGAUCCUGGAGCGCUGGUUUCAAUCCCCAAGGUCUCUGCAGGGCGAGAAACGUGUGGAGCACAUGAGGAAACCAUCCAGCACAGCAGCAGUUAAACAAAGCAGUCAACCCCCGGCCUUUCCCAUCUGCCUGCGUCCCGUGUAGAGAUCUUGACGCUCCCACCUGCCCUGCUGUGACCCUCAGCCCUUCCCGCCAUUAACUGAUUCGCCACAUCCACCUGCUCACCUGUUCCACAUUCCCUCAUUACCUCAGUCAGUAUUUAUAUCGGUGCAGUGUCACUCACCCCCUUCCAUGUUGUCUACUGUGCCAUUUCUGUCAUAGAGUCUCAGCCUUUUUCUCCUGAUUGGCUGCCUGUUUUUUUUUUUUGGCCUUUGGUCCUUUUUAUCUGUUCUGCUGUGAUUCCUGCUUUCCUGUAUCCAACGCAGACCUUCACCACAUCCUUGCCCCCUCAUAGUCCCCUUUGCUUCCUUUUGCUUCUUUUUUCAACCCUUAUUAAGUAAUUACAAAAUAAGCGAAGACAAGUUUAACAAUGGUGAGAAAGAUUGGACCAAACAUAUGACAAGAGACGAGAGAGAUUAUCAAGGAAAAAGAAAUGAGAGGGGGAGGAAAAAAUGAGUAAUAAUCAUAAUUGCAGAUGGUAUUAUGGUAGGAAAAAUUGAUUAAUUAAUUAAAUAAAAAACACUUGUACAUGUAUGUCUGAUGAUUGGAUUGUUGGGGGGGGCAAACAAUCUUCAUGGAGGUGAAGCAUUUGACCUUUUACUUUUCUCUCCGUGUUCUGCAUUUAAGUCCAGUUUACUGAGCUGUGACAGAACGUUACACCUGCUAAACAUCAGUGUUUUACUCCAUCAGCAUCUUCAUAGUGAGCGUGUCAGCAGGCUGUCGACUG